rnacentral:rRNA from 1 species
UACAGAGGUCUCAAGCGUUUGUUCGGAUUCAUUGGGCGUAAAGGGUGCGUAGGUGGCGCCGUAAGUCAGGUGUGAAAUUUCGGAGCUUAACUCCGAAACUGCAUUUGAUACUGCGGUGCUUGAGGACUGGAGAGGAGACUGGAAUUCACGGUGUAGCAGUGAAAUGCGUAGAUAUCGUGAGGAAGACCAGUGGCGAAGGCGGGUCUCUGGACAGUUCCUGACACUGAGGCACGAAGGCCAGGGGAGCAAACGGG